rnacentral:misc_RNA from 1 species
CCGAGUUUUCAACUCCCAAACCCACUGUGAACCUUACCAAAACAACGUUGCUUCGGCGGGACCGCCCCGGGCCCCCGCGCCCGGAACCAGGCGCCCGCCGGAGGCCCCAAAACUCUCGUGUUUCCCCCCAGUGGCAUUUACUCUGAGUGGCCUUAACGGCAAGCAAAUGAAUCA